rnacentral:rRNA from 1 species
GUGGGGAAUAUUGCACAAUGGGGGAAACCCUGAUGCAGCGACGCCGCGUGAGUGAAGAAGUAUUUCGGUAUGUAAAGCUCUAUCAGCAGGGAAGAAAGGCUCCGCAAGGAGAGAUGACGGUACCUGAGUAAGAAGCCCCGGCUAACUACGUGCCAGCAGCCGCGGUAAUACGUAGGGGGCAAGCGUUAUCCGGAUUUACUGGGUGUAAAGGGAGCGCAGACGGCAGCGCAAGUCAGAAGUGAAACCCCCGGGCUCACCCCGGGGCCUGCUUUUGAAACUGUGCAGCUAGAGUGCAGGAAGGGCAAGCGGAAUUCCUAGUGUAGCGGUGAAAUGCGUAGAUAUUAGGAGGAACACCGGUGGCGAAGGCGGCUUGCUGGACUGUAACUGACGUUGAGGCUCGAAGGCGUGGGGAGCAAACAGG